GACAUGUUGACCGUAGUGAGCAGCAGAGCAGUAAAACGAUCUAAUCUCCAGGAUUAUUCCAGCUGUCCAGGCUUUCCUGAUUAUCUGUGGCUGCAAAAUGUUCCAGACAGCAGCAGGUGUUUCUGGUGAAAAGGUGUGCAGCCAGCCAAUGAAAACGGUCCAGAACCAAAACCGGUUCAGGACGGAGGAAUGUGUGACUGAACCAAACGACCUUCAGCCCUGCUGGCUAACCACAGAGGAAGGUCACAACCCUCCUCUUCAUCCCUCUUCACCUCCAUCACUCGGCAAAAGAAAUCUGAAGCCUGCUUCAGGACGUCCAGUCGUCUCUCCAGCAGUCGGAGAAGCAGCGACCAUCCCUCCCUCAGAGACGCCUUCAUCGCCUCGAGAGGCAGAGCGCCUCGAUCAGAGUGUGUGAGUCCUUGUGGACCUGAAGUUUCUCCAGCAGCUGCUGCUGCUCCUGGAUCAGGAUGUGGUUUUCCUCCCGGUCCGAUCCGAUCUCACAGAGUCCAGGCUGGAACUGGACCAGCUGGAGGUGGAUCAGAGAGCCGCUCUGCAAACACAAGCCAGAGACAUUUUAUUCAUGACUAGUGUCAACUUCUUCUUUAAUACUGACUAUUGGCUGGAAUAAUAAAAUCCCAAAAAAUAAAGACCAAACAAACAAAACAC